rnacentral:rRNA from 1 species
GAAGUUAGACUUGUUAUUGUUGGUUCAACUUUUUUUAAAAGGUGUAUUCCAAUGGUUAACAGACCAGCAUCAAUUUUUGGGUGUUAGAUAAGGGUCUUGAGAAUGUAGCAAUUUUGGUUGUGUUAUAKCUCAUGACUUUGAUAUAAUGCUUAGGAUUGAAGAACGCAGUGAGCUUUUCAUUAAGUGGAUGCCUUUGGGGAUCUUCUCACUAUGGAUGUUGGUGUAAUAUCUUUAAAUGACACA